CACUUUGGGAUGCCCCAUUGCUAUGGGGACAGUGCUGUGUCCCACUUUGGGAUACCCCAUUGCUGUGGGGACAGUGCUGUGUCCCACUCCAGGGCAUCCCAUUGCUAUGGGGAUACCCCAUUGCUUUUGGGAUAUUGCUGUGCCCUAUUCUAGGACCCCCCUCCCCCCAUUGCUUUGGAGACAGUGCUGUGCCCCACUCUGGAGCACUGCUAUGGGGACAAUGCUAUGGGGACAGUGCUGUGUCCCAUUCCGGGACCCCCCCAUUGCUGUGGGGUCAGUGCUGUUGGGACAGUGCUAUGGGUACGGUGCUGUGCCCCAUUCUGGGACAUCCAUUGCUUUGGGGACAGUGCUGUACCCUUCUCUGGCAGACCCCAUUGCUAUGGGAUUCCCCAUUGCUUUGGGGACAGUGCUGUGCCCCACUCUGGGACACCCUAUUGCUAUGGGGACUUUGCUGUGCCCUUCUCUGGCAGACCCUAUUGCUAUGGGAUUCCCCAUUGCUUUGGGGACAGUGCUGUGCCCCACACUCUGGGACACCCCAUUGCUAUGGGGAUACCCCAUUGCUUUUGGGGACAGUGCUGUGCCCUUCUCCAGGACACCCCAUUGCUGUGGGGUCAGUGCUGGGAGGACGGUGCUAUGGGGACGGUGCUGUGCCCCAUU
rnacentral:lncRNA from 1 species